GAUGAACGCUAGCUACAGGCUUAACACAUGCAAGUCGCGGGGCAGCAUGGGGGUUGCUUGCAAUCCCCGAUGGCGACCGGCGCACGGGUGAGUAACGCGUAUCCAACCUGCCCUUCACCACGGGAUAACCCGGCGAAAGUCGGACUAAUACCGUAUGUUGUCCAUUGACGGCAUCCGAUUUGGACGAAAGGUGUGGCGGUGAAGGAUGGGGAUGCGUCCGAUUAGCUGGACGGCGGGGUGACGGCCCACCGUGGCGACGAUCGGUAGGGGUUCUGAGAGGAAGGUCCCCCACACUGGAACUGAGACACGGUCCAGACUCCUACGGGAGGCAGCAGUGAGGAAUAUUGGUCAAUGGGCGUAAGCCUGAACCAGCCAAGUAGCGUGCAGGAUGACGGCCCUAUGGGUUGUAAACUGCUUUUAUGCGGGGAUAAAGUGGCCCACGUGUGGGUUUUUGCAGGUACCGCAUGAAUAAGGACCGGCUAAUUCCGUG
rnacentral:rRNA from 1 species